rnacentral:rRNA from 1 species
CCUACGGGAGGCAGCAGUGAGGAAUAUUGGUCAAUGGGCGUAAGCCUGAACCAGCCAAGUCGCGUGAGGGAUGAAGGUUCUAUGGAUCGUAAACCUCUUUUAUAAGGGAAUAAAGUGCGGGACGUGUCCCGUUUUGUAUGUACCUUAUGAAUAAGGAUCGGCUAACUCCGUGCCAGCAGCCGCGGUAAUACGGAGGAUCCGAGCGUUAUCCGGAUUUAUUGGGUUUAAAGGGUGCGUAGGCGGCCUUUUAAGUCAGCGGUGAAAGUCUGUGGCUCAACCAUAGAAUUGCCGUUGAAACUGGGAGGCUUGAGUAUGUUUGAGGCAGGCGGAAUGCGUGGUGUAGCGGUGAAAUGCUUAGAUAUCACGCAGAACCCCGAUUGCGAAGGCGACCUGCUAGAACAUAACUGACGCUGAUGCGCGAAAGCGUGGGGAGCAAACAGGAUUAGAUACCCUUGUAGUC